rnacentral:rRNA from 1 species
UCCUAUUUUUGCGAUCGUCCAAGGGCAAAUGCUGCCUUGGUUAUAGGGGGGGGGGAAAAUACAAGGUUUCCGUAGGUGAACCUGCGGAAGGAUCAUUG